UCUGAAACUGCAGGUGGACAAAGGCUUUGGGAACCUCGUUUAGAUUCAGACAUUCAUCCUGCAUAGAGACGCUGACUCGAGAUUAAAGAACUAACUUCCCCCACUGGCUUGACUCUUCGGAUGUCAGUCUCCUAUUAUGUAUUUAUUUGUUCUUCAGUCAAACCAAAAAGGAUCUAACGCGGAACCCCUUUGCUCCAGAAAUGAACCCAUCGGAGUCUGGAGAGUGGAACCUGUGGUGUCUGGUUUCUCUCAACCCUGGUGAGAAGGCAUGGUGUGCUCGGCCGGAGAAAUGUGUAGAUAACGCCUCUAGAGUCUAGCUGGAUGAUGGAGUUUCCACAAAGCAAGCAGGAAAUAAGUGGACCCCUGGCAAAGAUAACGUCCAAGCGUCCUCUUCUGGGAGAGACUAGGAGUGUUUUUAAAUAGCAUGAUCACGGCCCACGGGAAUCUAAGAAACGGACACCAUUUUCUACCCUUUAAAACAAGAAGAAGAAACAAGGCAAAGUGUCUGGAGACCUUUCCCACGGUCACGUGGGAGGUGAGAGGCAAAUGGCUUUGGAAGCGUCAAAAGACCAAGAUGCAGGAUCUGAAUUCAGGGCUUGAGAAGAGAACUAUGUCAGUGUUACAGUAAACAUUCAAAUCCAACUUCCGGUUCAAAAACCCACCAGUCCCUGGAAAACUCGCCCCCUCCCCCACUCCAAGAAGCCCUAUAUAAGCCUGCCUCCCACUCGGUGGCCUGCUGCCUCUCACCCAGACAGAGGCAGCUGCCCUCUGUCUUUCCCAAUAGAUCGGUUGUGUGAGGUUUGCUGUGCAGUAUGACUUUGUGGUAUUCCUUGGAUACUGGGCUGCUAGGAUAACCAUUCACUUCAGACCUGCGACCCUUGUGUCUGGGGCAACUUUUCUCCUCAGAGCUGUAACACCCUUUUAUUCUGCAUGAAGAAAUGCUGUCAUGUAACACUGAACA